rnacentral:rRNA from 1 species
AAACCAGCACCUCAAGUGGUCAGGAGGAUUAUUGGGCCUAAAGCAUCCGUAGCCUGUUCUAUAAGUUUCCGGUUAAAUCCACUAGCUCAACUAGUGGGCUGCCGAAAAUACUGUAGAACUAGGGAGUGGGAGAGGUAGACGGUAUUCGGUAGGAAGGGGUAAAAUCCUUUGAUCUAUUGAGGACCACCUGUGGCGAAGGCGGUCUACCAGAACACGUUCGACGGUGAGGGAUGAAAGCUGGGGGAGCAAACCGUAUUAGAAACCCGUGUAGUCC